AUUCCACGGAGUCAUGUCAGUCGAUCCUGAGCGACCAUUUCAAAAAUAUCUGAAACUUUGCACAGUUUUUCAAUUUCAUCUAAAUCGCCAUUUUUCGAUAUCAAACCUUCAUAUUCACUCACGACUAACUUUUCAAAAGAGUGUAUGCGAAAAUAGUUCAAAAAUAUUCUAAAAGCUGUACAGCAAAAACGGAUUGUUCGAUUGUUAUGAAUUUUUCAGCAAAGUUAGAUAACUAAAUGAUGAUUCCUUAGAAAAUAUACACUGUAAAAAAUUUCUUUUUUUACUAUAAAAAAAUAUGAUCUUUGUCACAAAAACUCAAAUAUCUCAGAACCCUAUCUUUUUACCAACGUCAAUUUUUUAGGGAAAAUGGCCCAUUAUAUCAGCUAUCUACCAUAAAAUUUUGGUGAUGGUAAACUGAUAAACAAAAAAGUUAUGACAUUUCAAACAUUUCACAAUUUUUACAUUUAGUAACAAAAAAAAAAUUUUUUUCUGUGUAAAUUAUUUCGAGAACUAUAUUUUGAUGCUGAUUUUAUUGUAAAGGCUACCGCAUGAAUUAAACAAGUUGUUUUCAUGAUAUUUUUGUUUGAUUAUUUAUAAUUACUAUAGUAUCUAUUUGAACCUUACACGCGAUCCAGUGUUGUGAUCAAAAAUAUUGAGAUUGUCAUACUUUUUAUUGUACGUGACUGGUGAAAAAAUCCCUUGAUAGUGUUGAAAAGCUGUUGAUCAUAAGAAAAAUGGAAUUAAACUUAUUUUGAAGACGAAAGCUGCAUAAUAAAAGUUUUAUAUAUACGCGUAUACGUCUAGUUGAUCUGCAAAAAAAUACCUCUUAUAGAACAGACUUUAUGAUCGGAAAAAUGCGAGUAACUUCAACAACAACAAAUGCAUGAGAGGUACAUACCACAGACAAACAGACAAAACGCCUAGAACAAUUUUCGUGAAAAUCCAUCGCCCAGUUCACACUACCACCACCUGGUGGAAAUGUUUCACGAAACACUGCGUUGUGCAAUAUCGUCAUCAGAAGGCGCUAGUGUGAAACGUCAAACGCAAAGAAAAACGAUGGGCACUCUUCUGGUUAUGAAAGCCACAACCAAGAUUCAAAAUGAUCGUUAAAGGCGUGGUCAAUGAAAAUUUCGUCAGUGUUACGUUUGUUUGUCUGUAUAAUACAUACCAUGAAAAUGCUCACGAAAAAGCAAAAAAAUACUACCGCUAUGGAUAUUAAAAAUUUUAUAGUAAAUUUUUUCUUCGUCCAAUCAAACAACACCAAACUAGUCAGUUAAAACUAAUAAGUGAUUUUGUUUAUUAUAAUGUAACGAACAACAUGAACAGUCGCUUUCUCAAAGGUCUUCAACUCAACGCUCUCUUGUAGACCGCUUGUGAAAAAAAAUGUUCAAAAGAGUUACGAAAUCUCAUAGAUAAACUGAAAGAGACUGGUUAUGCCCAAAUUGAAUACAAAUUUACGCAUUUGCACGUCCUGCCGUCUA